rnacentral:rRNA from 2 species
CCCAGGUCAGGCGAGGCCACCCGCU